rnacentral:lncRNA from 1 species
CCGGCCAUCGGGAGAUUUUUUACCAUGAUCUGCAUUCUAGACUCCAGAGAUUCUUUUUCUCAGACUUGGAGAAGAUCUUCAGCAGUAAGAGAAGAAGAUCUGAUGGAGAAUAGGUUGAGGAAAGUGGGUUCAGAAGAGAUUGGAAGGUGGUAGAGGGUUGUUGAAAUUUUUAGGCUGCAGUCUGUAGGACUGGAAAGAGAGAAAGAUUUGGAGGACUUUUUGGAGGCUUUUGAUGUGAGAUUUUUAUGAUUUGUAGGAGACUGAUGGA